rnacentral:rRNA from 1 species
GACGAACGCUGGCGGCGUGCUUAACACAUGCAAGUCGAACGGAAAGGCCCUGCUUUUGUGGGGUGCUCGAGUGGCGAACGGGUGAGUAACACGUGAGUAACCUGCCCUUGACUUUGGGAUAACUUCAGGAAACUGGGGCUAAUACCGGAUAGGAGCUCCUGCUGCAUGGGGGGGGUGGGAAAGUUUCGGGGGUUGGGGAUGGACUGCCGGCUUAUCGGCUUGUUGGUGGGGUAGUGGCUUACCAAGGCUUUGACGGGUAGCCGGCCUGAGAGGGUGACCGGCCACAUUGGGACUGAGAUACGGCCCAGACUCCUACGGGAGGCAGCAGUGGGGAAUAUUGCACAAUGGGCGGAAGCCUGAUGCAGCAACGCCGCGUGCGGGAUGACGGCCUUCGGGUUGUAAACCGCUUUCGCCUGUGACGAAGCGUGAGUGACGGUAAUGGGUAAAGAAGCACCGGCUAACUACGUG